GAACGCUGGCGGCAUGCCUAACACAUGCAAGUCGAACGCUAUCUUUGAUAGAGUGGCGCACGGGUGAGUAACGCGUGGGAACCUACCUUUCUCUGCGGGACAACGGUUGGAAACGACCGCUAAUACCGCAUACGCCCUCCGGGGGAAAGGUCAGCCGGAGAAAGAGGGGCCCGCGUUCGAUUAGCUAGUUGGUGGGGUAAAAGCCUACCAAGGCAACGAUCGAUAGCUGGUCUGAGAGGAUGAUCAGCCACACUGGGACUGAGACACGGCCCAGACUCCUACGGGAGGCAGCAGUGGGGAAUAUUGGACAAUGGGGGCAACCCUGAUCCAGCAAUGCCGCGUGUGUGAUGAAGGCCCUAGGGUUGUAAAGCACUUUCACUGGUGAAGAUGAUGACGGUAGCCAGAGAAGAAGCCCCGGCUAACUUCGUGCCAGCAGCCGCGGUAAUACGAAGGGGGCGAGCGUUGUUCGGAAUUACUGGGCGUAAAGGGCGCGUAGGCGGUCCUUUAAGUUAGGCGUGAAAGCCCCGGGCUCAACCUGGGAACUGCGCUUGAUACUGGAGGACUAGAAAACGGAAGAGGGUAGUGGAAUUCCCAGUGUAGAGGUGAAAUUCGUAGAUAUUGGGAAGAACACCAGUGGCGAAAGCGGCUACCUGGUCCGAUUUUGACGCUGAGGCGCGAAAGCGUGGGGAGCAAACAGGAUUAGAUACCCUGGUAGUCCACGCCGUAAACGAUGUCUGCUAGAUGUCGGGGGGUUACCCCUCGGUGUCGCCGCUAACGCAUUAAGCAGACCGCCUGGGAAGUACGGUCGC
rnacentral:rRNA from 1 species